rnacentral:tRNA from 1 species
UCCCAGUGGCUCAGUUGGUAAAGAAUCUGCCUGCAAUGCAGGAGGCCUGGGUUUGAUCCCUGGGUUGGGAA